AAAAUCCGUCAGAGUAAAUCUAGAUAGUAUUCAAGGGGAAUCGCAAGAGGAACCGAUGAUGUGGCGCGACACUUUCAAGAAAUAGACUCUAGUCGUCGUAGGCAACCGUACCAAAACCGACACAGGUGGAUAGGAAGAAUAUUCUAAGGCGCGCGAGAGAACUCUCGUUAAGGAACUCGGCAAAUUAUCCUCGUAACUUCGGGAGAAGAGGAGCCCCUGUCCGUGACUGCACUUGCUGCAGAAGCGGCUGGGGGCCGCAGAGAAAUGGCCCAGGCGACUGUUUAACAAAAACACAGCACUAUGCAAAGACAACUUAAGUCGAAGUAUAUGGUGUGAUGCCUGCCCAAUGCCAAAAGGUCAAAAGGAGAUGUUAGCCGCAAGGCGAAGCAUUGAAUUUAAGCCCUGGUGAAUGGCGGCCGUAACGAUAACGGUCCUAAGGUAGCGAAAUUCCUUGUCGGGUAAGUUCCGACCUGCACGAAUGGUAUAACGAUCUGGGCACUGUCUCAACGAGAGACUCGGUGAACUUGUAGUAGCAGUGGAGAUGCUGUUUACCCGCAAUAAGACGGAAAGACCCCGUGAACCUUUACUGUACUCUGAUAUUGGCUCUUGACUUGUCAUGUGUAGGAUAACCAGGAGACUGUGAAGCCGCGUCGUUAGGCGUGGUGGAGUCAACGUUGAAAUACUGGUCUUGACAAGUCGGGAAUCUAACAAAAUCCCAUGAAGCUGGGAUUUGGACAUUGUCAGACGGGCAGUUUUGCUGGGGCGGUAUCCUCCUAAAGAGUAACGGAGGAGUCCAAAGCUUGCCUCAUCGUGGUUGGCAAUCACGAGAAGAGCGUAAAGGUAUAAGGCAAGUUAACUGCGAGACCAACAAGUCGAGCAGAUACGAAAGUAGGGCUUAGUGAUCCGGCGGUGGAAAGUGGAAUCGCCGUCGCUCAACGGAUAAAAGGUACUCCGGGGAUAACAGGCUUAUCGCCACCAAGAGUUCAUAUCGACGUGGCGGUUUGGCACCUCGAUGUCGACUCAUCACAUCCUGGGGCUGAUGAAGGUCCCAAGGGUUUGGCUGUUCGCCAAUUAAAGUGGUACGCGAGUUGGGUUCAAAACGUCGUGAGACAGUUUGGUCCCUAUCUGUUGUGGGCGCAGGAUACUUGAGAGGAGCUGCUUCUAGUACGAGAGGACCGAAGUGGACGAACCAAUGGUGUUCCAGUUGUUCUGCCAAGGGCAUAGCUGGGUAGCUAAGUUCGGAAAGGAUAAGCGUUGAAAGCAUCUAAACGCCAAGCCUCCCUCAAGAUUAAGUAUCCCAAUGAGACACCAUGAAGACUACAUGGUUAAUAGGUUGGGUGUGUAAGUGCAGUAAUGCAUUGAGCUAACCAAUACUAAUCAGUCCAUUGGCUUGACCAC
rnacentral:rRNA from 1 species